CUAAAUGCAACAAAUCCGAGCCUUUGAGGGGGCUAAAAGUCACUAAAUUCCAGCCAUUUAUCAAUCAUGUUGGAAUCCAUUAACAGGAAAGAUCUCAAACGCAAGGGAGAAUGAAUCCAAACAUUGAUCGCAUGAGGACACUUGAAGAAAUAUGAUCAAUGGAUUCUCUCUCACCACAAAAACUGCAUUCAGGAGAUACAUCAGGGAGGCGCUCCUGGAGGAGGUAUUUGCAUGGCAACCGUUUCAUAAUUCAACAUAUACAUCUCAUAAGAAAUGACAGAUGAUUGAGUUUCAGGAGCUAUAGGUGCUGGCCCUGGUCACCGGCAAUCAUGGCGUCAUCGGAAUCCAUGGCGUAUCAACAAUUUCCUUUGUUCGUUUAGUAGUAAGAUUUGCUUGCGAUUUAAUUUGAAUUAAUAUUUAAGAUAAAGAACAAAAUCAAAGCUGUGCAAUUGAAAUGACAGAGGGAAAUAGAUGAAUAAUCAUUUAUUGAGAAUACAAAUACAACACAACACAUAUAUAAUAUCAAUUACUAAUUCAGAUGUGCAUCAGAUCAGAGCACGAGCAUGCAACUAAAACUAAUUCUGAAGGAUGGGCGCGGGUGCAGGCGCAGUGACGGUCUGAUCACUUGGAUUCUUCUGCGCUUGGCGUUCGCGAGGACAAUUCCACUUUCUAUGGUUCCCUUGGUCAUGGGAAUGUUGUAUUCCUCGUGUUAUAAACCCCCCGAACAUGGUCCCGAAAACAAACGCAACAACUGGCUUCAUGCUGCUGCUCAUUGAUUUGGUUUAAUAACCCCAAUAAUCAAGCUAAAGUGUCAAGUAAAUAUGGGUUUGCUUUGCAUAUCUGGGAGGUCAAUCGGAGGGGAUUUAUAGGAUCCACAUUCUUAAUUUCCAGGGACGUGAUGCCCAAGCCUUACUGUCGCAGCAGCUGCUGUCGCGUGUCCUGCACUCCACUUCGUGGGUCAAAUUGAUUUUCUUGUAGACAACUUGGAUUUGAAAAUUAUUACACUAAAUUAAUCAACGACAGCGAUAUGUAUUCUUAUUAUUAUUUUUUUUUAAUGAAGAAUUGAACAAAAGAGACCAGUAAGCCUUGUUUCCUUCCAUGAUUCAGUCAUGACAUACAAAUCC
rnacentral:lncRNA from 1 species